rnacentral:rRNA from 1 species
AUUCCAGCUCCAAUAGCGUAUAUUAAUGUUGUUGCAGUUAAAAAGCUCGUAGUUGGAUUCCUGGCCUGGGGUAGCCGGUCCGCCUUGCAAAAGGUGCGCACUGUGCGGCCUCGGCCAUCCUUGAGAAGAGCUGUUCUGGCAUUCAGUUGUCGGGGCGGGGAUUCUCGACGUUUACUGUGAAAAAAUCAGAGUGUUCAAAGCAGGCUUACGCCUUGAAUACAUUAGCAUGGAAUAAUGAGAUAGGACCUUGGCGGUCUAUUUUGUUGGUUUGCACGCCGAGGUAAUGAUUAAAAGGGACGGUUGGGGUUCUUCGUGUUCAAUUGUCAGAGGUGAAAUUCUUGGAUUUAUGGAAGACGAACUGCUGCGAAAGCGUCGAACAAGGACGUUCUCAUUA